AGUGAUGAUGAUGAAAUGAGCCAGCUUCUGAGGCACAACCAAUAAGGUCCUGGAACCAAAUCCCAGCGGAUAUCAAGGACCCAAUGUACCUCGCUGAGAAGAGAGUGGGCAAUUCAUCCAAGUUAUGCACAAUGAACCAUUAAGAUCUGAGCUGGCGAUCCAGGUCUGCAAGAAGAAUGCAUUGUGUAAGCAAUUGAGAACAAGAUUUGAAUAUUGCAAGGAAUAUAGCACCCCCCCUUCCUCCAAAAAAAAGGAUGAAAAAUAAAGAUAUUUCCACAUGGAUAGAAAAGCAGCUUCUUGGCAGAGAUUCAUUUUCAGUCGUUAUUGCUGCCAUCCAAAGUAUGAAAGGUGGGUAGAACAGAUUGUUUCUGCAAACAACUCCAAUUCUUUCAGAGAACAUAAAAAGAGAAAUGAGUGGAAGUAGAAAAACCACCAAGAAUAUCCCCCUCC